CACCCACCCGAUGGCUUAGAUUCUUCUCUGUCUCUCUUUCAGGUCCUCACACAUGCACCUGAGAGCCCAGAGAGCCCAGUCUGAACUCUCAAAAGGAUGUUUUGAGAUGUGUCAGAUCAGGAAAGGAGGGGGCACGCUCGGGAGCUGUUAUGUCAUAUGCCCAAAGCUGGGCCUUCAAGAAGGCAGCACUUCUGUCUUAUGACCUGGAGCACUUCUUACUAUUCCCACAACACAUCUGCUUUUCUGGGGACCUAUCACAUUUGCCCUUAUAUCUCCUGUGAUAUAGAUAACCAGGUUUUGCUGCCCUGCUCAGGUGUGAGCAUCCAAUUUGGCUCAGUAUGUUGCAAGCAUGAUUUUCUUAUUCUGAUAUUUAUUUAUUUAUUUGAUCAUAGUAUAGGGUUGUAAUAAAGGAUGUGGAAAGUG
rnacentral:lncRNA from 1 species